GACAAAUUACAGUAAAAGUAUAUUUACUUUAUGUUUAAAUAUCUUAUUUUAUUGCAGCUCUUCAUUUUCAAUUAAACCAAAUUACAGUAAAAGUAACUUUACUUUAGAAUUCAAAAAUAAAAGAUGCCAAUUCCACCAAAUUUCCGUAUACAUAAAUAUUAUAAUGAAUCAACUACUUAUUAUGUAUGCUCAGAAGCAUUGCUAGGGGAAAGGGAUAUCAAAUAUAAUGUAUUAAGUAUAUCUAAAGAGUGUACUGAUCCAAAUUGCUACCAGCAAAAAUUCAGAUCAAUAUCAACACAAAGUUUAAUGCAG